rnacentral:misc_RNA from 1 species
GAUGAAGAACGCAGCGAAAUGCGAUACGUAAUGUGAAUUGCAGAAUUCCGUGAAUCAUCGAAUCUUUGAACGCACAUUGCGCCCGCCAGCAUUCUGGCGGGCAUGCCUGUUCGAGCGUCAUUUCAACCCUCGACCUCCCUUUGGGGAAGUCGGCGUUGGGGACCGGCAGCACACCGCCGGCCCUGAAAUGGAGUGGCGGCCCGUCCGCGGCGACCUCUGCGUAGUAAACCAACUCGCACCGGAACCCCGACGUGGCCACGCCGUAAAACACCCAACUUCUGAACGUUGACCUCGAAUCAGGUAGGACUACCCGCUGAACUUAAGCAUAUCAAUAAGCGGAGGA